rnacentral:lncRNA from 1 species
CACAUGCAUUAUGUAGAUAGCUAGGCAAACAUGCAAAAAUUAAAGCAAGCAAGCUAACAAGAAAAUAAACGCAAAUUGAAAAGUAUAAAUAUAUACAUGUAACUGAGUAGCUCACUCGUGUAAAAAAGAAUUGGUAUGAGUCAACUCUUCACAGUAGACCAAACGGCAAAUAAAUCAAUAACAAUAAGUCAUCGUACUGCCUUCAACAAUGAACAGGGCCCAUACCGCAUUAAUAACGAUAAGUCAAUUUACUGCCUUCAACAAUGAGCGGAGCCCAUGCCGCAUAAAUAACAGUCACUUUUCUGCCUUCAACAAUGAGCAGGGCCUAUACUGCUUUAAUAACAAUAAGUCAUUGUACUGCCUUCAACAAUGAGCAGAGCCCAUGUCGCAUUAAUAACAAUUAGUCACUUUUCUGCCUUCAACAAAGAGCAGGGCCCAUACUGCAUUAAUAACAAAAGUCAUGUACUGCCUUCAACAAUGAGCAGAGCUCAUACCGCAUUAGUGAGUAAAUAAAGACCCAAAAGAAAAAUGUUAAACAAGUCAAACGAGAAAACAGUAGGCAUAAUUUAUGUUCAAUUUUUUUUUUUUAUAUAGUAAUGCCGAUUUAAGUGUAUCAAACAAUUUAGGAAAUAUUUAAGACUGUUCAAAGAAUUUGCACGUGUAAAUACUUUAAUCGAAGCCAUCGACUCUGAUUGGAUUUAUUUUAAAGCUAU